UACGUUUUGGUGUAAGAUGCACAAAAGUUUUUGAUACUUUUGGGAAUAGUUUAAUUCUAUUAAAUGUAA
rnacentral:tRNA from 1 species